AAAUUGAAGAGUUUGAUCAUGGCUCAGAUUGAACGCUGGCGGCAGGCCUAACACAUGCAAGUCGAGCGGAAACGAGUUAUCUGAACCUUCGGGGAAGGAUAACGGCGUCGAGCGGCGGACGGGUGAGUAAUGCCUAGGAAAUUGCCCUGAUGUGGGGGAUAACCAUUGGAAACGAUGGCUAAUACCGCAUGAUGCCUACGGGCCAAAGAGGGGGACCUUCGGGCCUCUCGCGUCAGGAUAUGCCUAGGUGGGAUUAGCUAGUUGGUGAGGUAAGGGCUCACCAAGGCGACGAUCCCUAGCUGGUCUGAGAGGAUGAUCAGCCACACUGGAACUGAGACACGGUCCAGACUCCUACGGGAGGCAGCAGUGGGGAAUAUUGCACAAUGGGCGCAAGCCUGAUGCAGCCAUGCCGCGUGUGUGAAGAAGGCCUUCGGGUUGUAAAGCACUUUCAGUCGUGAGGAAGGUAGUGUAGUUAAUAGCUGCAUUAUUUGACGUUAGCGACAGAAGAAGCACCGGCUAACUCCGUGCCAGCAGCCGCGGUAAUACGGAGGGUGCGAGCGUUAAUCGGAAUUACUGGGCGUAAAGCGCAUGCAGGUGGUUUGUUAAGUCAGAUGUGAAAGCCCGGGGCUCAACCUCGGAAUAGCAUUUGAAACUGGCAGACUAGAGUACUGUAGAGGGGGGUAGAAUUUCAGGUGUAGCGGUGAAAUGCGUAGAGAUCUGAAGGAAUACCGGUGGCGAAGGCGGCCCCCUGGACAGAUACUGACACUCAGAUGCGAAAGCGUGGGGAGCAAACAGGAUUAGAUACCCUGGUAGUCCACGCCGUAAACGAUGUCUACUUGGAGGUUGUGGCCUUGAGCCGUGGCUUUCGGAGCUAACGCGUUAAGUAGACCGCCUGGGGAGUACGGUCGCAAGAUUAAAACUCAAAUGAAUUGACGGGGGCCCGCACAAGCGGUGGAGCAUGUGGUUUAAUUCGAUGCAACGCGAAGAACCUUACCUACUCUUGACAUCCAGAGAACUUUCCAGAGAUGGAUUGGUGCCUUCGGGAACUCUGAGACAGGUGCUGCAUGGCUGUCGUCAGCUCGUGUUGUGAAAUGUUGGGUUAAGUCCCGCAACGAGCGCAACCCUUAUCCUUGUUUGCCAGCGAGUAAUGUCGGGAACUCCAGGGAGACUGCCGGUGAUAAACCGGAGGAAGGUGGGGACGACGUCAAGUCAUCAUGGCCCUUACGAGUAGGGCUACACACGUGCUACAAUGGCGCAUACAGAGGGCGGCCAACUUGCGAAAGUGAGCGAAUCCCAAAAAGUGCGUCGUAGUCCGGAUUGGAGUCUGCAACUCGACUCCAUGAAGUCGGAAUCGCUAGUAAUCGUGGAUCAGAAUGCCACGGUGAAUACGUUCCCGGGCCUUGUACACACCGCCCGUCACACCAUGGGAGUGGGCUGCAAAAGAAGUAGGUAGUUUAACCUUCGGGGGGACGCUUACCACUUUGUGGUUCAUGACUGGGGUGAAGUCGUAACAAGGUAGCGCUAGGGGAACCUGGCGCUGGAUCACCUCCUUAAACGAUGAU
rnacentral:rRNA from 1 species